ACUUUAGCCAUUACAUAUUCUACAACUGUCCGCGAGAAGAAGAAAAAAAUUUGAAAAAGAGAAAAGCUCAAACUCAAAAGCGCCAUGGAAGAGCUGAGGAAGCUAGAAGAGGUACAAAGAAUGUUAAUGUUGAUGCAAUUGAACGGCGUCGUUGCGUCAUCUAAUAAUAAUGACUCUAACCGCUUCCUUGCUUCUCUAAUCCUUCUCAUGAUAAAACCAUGCGGCGGUCUCCAGAUAAACGAGAAGUGCCAUUUAAUUACACAACACAUGCCUAAGAUUUCAGCUUCUUUUCUAGAGGAAGCCUCGUUCUUAUUUAAUCAACGUGGUAUCUUGGAAAUGGAAGACAAGGUUUCAGGUUGUCGAAAUGUUGUAUCAACUACUCAUGCUAGAGAAGAUAAUGAUGAACUAAAGCAAAAGAAUUUUGAAGAUAUGGCUGUGGUUAGCUUUGAUUCACUGCAAAGAGCUAAUUCUACACUUGAGGAUUUUUGCAGAUCAUACUUUAUGUUUCAUGAGAUGGACAUAAAUUCGCCGCAAGCAAUAUUCAAAUUUUUACCUGUGCUUUCAUUCACAGAAAGCUACAUCUAUCAGAUGGAUCGUAUGAAUGAAGGGUUAGUGAGUUUGCCAACCAACAGAGAUGCAGUUCUAGAAAGAGUAAAUGAGAUGUGGAAAGGAAAAGAAAGCUGGACUACAAAGUGUAUGAAUAUGUUCAAAACUGAUCCAUUUAGACCACUUGUGGCUCAACUUGAAUGUCUUGGCCUUCUAACCGAGAGGAUUACUGAACAAUUGAGAUGUGGAGAUGAGUAUUGGGCUUUGGAAAGAAAGCUUUGUUCUGCACUUAUGAACCAAAAGGAGAUCUCCAUUGAAGAUGUAAUGAGGGCAAUUCAUCUAAAAUCCUUUGAUUUUCGAGUACUGAAUCUUCUCCUGUACCAGUUGAGAGGAGAAAAGGUGAAUGAGUUGCAUAUGGAAUUCUUAUCAAUCUCAGAAUUUCUAGUGGAAGUGUCUGAUGACCUGUUCGACUAUGAGGAUGAUGUGAUGGAGAAUAAUUUCAAUAUUUUGCGCAUGUUUGUUGGAAUAUAUGGAGCGUCAGCGGCCCCAGUUAUGUUGGCCAAGCACAUUGCUGAGGCUGAAGAGAAAUAUGACUCUUUGCUGAAGACUUUGGAUCCGCAACUGUCAUUGAGUUACCAGAGAAGAUGUGAAGAAGCCACUAGAGAAGGUGGGAAGAUAUCUGGACACCCUUUUGGAACAUGGAGCAUACCGCCUGUAAUUGUAGAUGAAGAAUUACAUCGAUCAAACUGUUUCACUUCUAAAUGAAUAAUGGUUACCUCCAGGUAACAUGUGGACAAUCUAAUAGCUACAUACUGUUAGCCAUGUGACGUGGUACCUGCAGCUACGUGAUUAGGGUGAUGAGGGUGAGUGGUCCAUUUUAUCAGAUGGUUGCGGCAGUUAUCAACUACAUCAUCACCGUCGAAUCUUCCAUCACAUGCGAACUCUUGUAUCAUCUGAUUCUCGCACGUAACUGGCCUACCACAAUAUCUAUUGAAGUGAAGCUCUGCAGGGUGUACGUAGCCUUUUCUUCUUUCACAUUUUAAACUGUUUCUUACGAGUGUUUUAAAAAAAAAAAAAAAUUGACUUUUGGUAUCCAAGUCAAAAACACUUAAUCCUUUUUGUUUUAUGACUAAUAACUCUUAUGCCUUGUGAUUAGUAAUUUUCUCUUUGGGUCAAGUUUUUUUUUUUCUUAAUUAAACGUGAAAGGUGUUCCAUUACUUUCACAUGCGUGACACCAAUAUCUGAGAUUGAUCUUUUCCUCUUUAUAUGGUACGAAGUCGAUGGACAAUUUGAGUUA